CCUCUCUCUCUCUCUCUCUCUCUCUCUCUCUCUCUCUCUAGGGUUCUCUAGUUUUGAAAUCAUACUGUUACAAAAAUGCAGCAGGUAGCUUCCAAGUUCUUCAAUGGGCAUCUCAAACCCUAGAAUCAGGGCAGCAAGAAGGGGUUCUUCCCAAUAAACUCAUUCCCUCAAGCUGUGAUAAUACAAGGAAGAAGAUUGGAUCCAUAUUUUCAAUGCUUAGCUGAGAAUGCG
rnacentral:lncRNA from 1 species